rnacentral:lncRNA from 10 species
AAGGGUAUGAUGGCACAGAGGAAAGUGCAUGUGAAGUGGCAGCAAGAGAGUGGCCAUUUGCAAGCCAUGGAUUGAAGCAUCAGAGGAAACCAUCUCUGCUGAUACCUUGAACGUGGACUUUCAGUCUCCAGAACGCCAGAAACAGAGGUUACAGUGGAGGUCUCUGAGGCACUGGGGAUGGCAGAUCACAUCGUGAGAGAAGUCUAGACUCCUGAAUGGCACUGUAGAAUGCUUCCCACCAAUCACCUACUUGGACUAUGUGAUUUUGUUCCUGGGGGAACCCAGGCUAGAGAAUUGGUGUAGAUACCUUUAAAGCAAUUCAGAGUCAAUAAGGAGAAGGCCCAAAUACGAUAUGUGGCGAACACCGAAGAACUGUUAAGAUGUCUCUUUGAUGAAGGACUUACUGCCCCAGCUGCUGAGAAUGCUGUUAGUAGAUGGUCUUCAGAAGAUUCCGGCCCCUUCAGUGAUUGCCUCAGCUGCAGAAAGCUGCCUCUCCCAAGGUCACACCCCUUCCCAUGGGAGCAGUCCACAUCCAAUGACUGAUCACAUGCAGGAAUAUAUAGGCAUGGCCAUCUCAGUUCAAUUAAAGAGCUGCCCAUGAGGUGUUGAUGCCAAGAACGCUAAUAAAAAUCCAGAGGGCUAAAGUUUGUCUCAGAUUCUGCAUACGGAGGAACUCAAGCUGUGACAACAUGUUAGAAUAAAAGAUGUUGUGGCUAUUUCUUGAUGGUUUUCAGGCUCCAGUUCAUUAAGAUUACUGCAAUUGGUGCCUCUGCUGAGGAUUUCACUACUGUCUUUCACCAGCAGGUCUGGAGUGGAUCCUGAGAAGUCUGCAGAUGAGACUUUGAAGAGCAAGGUGCUAGAGGAUCAGCUGAUAGAAACACUAUUCUGCUGAUGAAGAGGACACAUUCAAAUAAGUUCUAUAUUAAAUCUAAUUAAAACACAAUAAAAGAGAAUCUUCUACAGUAAUGUGAAAUUCCUUGGAAAGUACAGUGCUACUUCAUUAUAUAAAACACAGAGAUGGAAGAGACCCAGCAACGAUGCAGGCCAUCCAUCAAGUGGUGUAUUUUAAGCCUUUCUCCUUCCCAGGCCAGUCUAGCCGGAGUGUCAAAUUAUGCCACUUAUGCCACAUUUCUUAACUUAAUAAUCCUCUCAGUCAGGACAUUUUGGGCUGAUUGAACAUCAUUCUAAGCUCAUGUGAGUCCACAGCAAAGUGAGAUCUCAAAAAACCGUUAAAGGACUGGGAGGGAAAGUAUAAGUG